AAAGUGCGACAAGUGUCAUGACUUGCAGAUACCCGAGAGCUGACAAAUUUCUGAAUGCAAAUUGCAGCCAAGUUAACCUGGCUAUGUAUUGCAGAGAGUACUUCGCUUAUGCGCGCCAUCCAGGGGUGGUUCCAUUCCUCUCUUGGGCUAUGUGCAGGCAUCUUCUUGCCUGCUGAGCAUUGUGCCGUCUCCAACCAGUUUGGAUAAAGGCCAACUCAAAUUAAAGAUAGAAAACCAACGAGUUUUCCCCGGACAAUUGAGAUAAUUGAAUACGUUCAAUGACUUCUCACCAUCCACCUCUGCAAUGCAGGAGAACCCGCUGAACUUAA
rnacentral:misc_RNA from 1 species